rnacentral:lncRNA from 1 species
GAUGAGCAGGCGGCGGUGUGCGGUCCCAGGGUCCAGGGUCAGGUCGGCUGGAGACGGGGAGGCAGGGAGAGGACCUCAUGAGAGAGUUUUCUAAAUCACAGGCGGGGUAGGGUGGAGAAUAGUCAACGAAGAUCACGUAAAAGACUGAGAGCUAGUGACCACACAACAGCUCAAAAGGCGACUGCAGGACCAAAAAGAAGGAAGGCAUAUGAAGAGCAGACCUGGGCAAUAUCAGACCUUGUACUGAUGCACCACUUCUGUAGAAUUGGACCUGGGGAAGGAUCAUACUGGCCCAGUGCAGGGAGCACAGCAGGAAGAUCAAAUGAGAGGUUGUCUCGUUUGUGGGGUUGGGGGAGGAAGAGUGAGGCUGAUCUGACUUCGAGGGAGGAGUAAGGACUGAUACCUCAAUCUGCAUCAUCUGGGGUGGGGCAUGGGAGCUGGGUCAGCAAAAUGGGGAAGGUUCAUCUAAAGAGAAAGUCGUACUGAUACUGGAACCUCAAGUAAUGGGAGGGGCACAGGGAGGAAUCCAAGGUAUCCUGAGAAACCAGCCCACCCACCCACAGGAAUUGGGGGGUGGGGUGGACAGUCCUAUUUCUGUAGGGGUUGUGGGGCAGAGGAGGAGAGCAGGUGGUGAUAGCCAGAGACCAGAAAAAGAACCAUUGGCCUUAUAUGUAUGGGGUGCUUUGAAGAAAAAUUUCUGGAUUAGGGGUGUCAGAAGCAAUCUGGACUGGGCAAGAUGGUGGAUGACCAAGAUGGUGGACCACCUUCUCUAGGCAGUUUAAAGAAGGGUAGAGGCACCCUUCUUCUUGGGAGUGAGUGAGGAAAGAAGGGUCAAGGAGAUGCUGGGGUCCCCUUCCAGGGAGGAGUGACGAGAGGUGGUGGAAGCAGAGAUUUUUGAGAGGCACCUAACCUUCAGGGAUCUGUUGUUUGAAUGUAUGAAAAAGGAAGAGGGAAAAUGGCUGGAAUAUGAGGAAUCGAGGAUAGACAUUGUUAUAGGCUGAACUGUGCCCUCCCCCACUCCACACACACACACAAAGAUAGGUUGAAGUCCUCCAAACCUCAGAAUGUUACCUUGUUUUGAAACAGGAUCUUUACAUAGGUAAUCAAGUUAAAAUGAAGGUCAUUAGGGUGGGCUCUAAUCCAGAUUGCUGACUUACAAAAAGAGGAAAUUUGGACACAGAGACAAAUGCAUACAAAAGAAAAUGUGCAGACCUAUCACCCAAAGAACAUGUGAGGCUACCAGAGGCUAGGAGACAGGCAUGGAACAGAUUCUGUCUCAUGGCCGUCAGAAGGAACCAACACUGCUGACACCUUGAUUUCAGACUUCUACCUCCUGAACUUUGAGAUAAAUGUCUGUUGUUUCAGCCACCUACUUUGCGGUGCUUCAUUAGAGCAGUACUAGGAAACUAAUGCAGACAUCAAAAAGGACCUGAUCACUUUUUAGGGCUAAAAGGAAGAAAAUCUAACACAGACUUUCAUUCAAUUCCCUUCCCUCCCUUCUUCUUUCCUUACCUGUCAGUCUAUGAAGCAUUUUUUUGACCACUGGAUAAUCUUCAGGGAGAUCAUCCUCUGAAUUAGAUGACUUGGAUGUUGGGACUUCAAAUCUACACAGAUGAGGGGAAGGGUCAGGAAAUCAGCCCUCUGAUCCUAAUGCCCCCACGCAUACCCCACUCACAUCUCUGGAGGAAGAAGGGAUGAGACUAUACCCCAGAAAACCUGCCUAUUAAUGGGAACAAAGGUGUGGGCCCAGUGAGAACGUGAUGGCUAUGGCAGCUGGUGAGAAAAGGAGGGAACAGAAAAGUGGAACUCACCGUCUCCAUGUCUUCCUCAUAUCCUAGGAUGGGCAGAAACAAACAUGGAUGUGAGCUCUGGGCUUCAUUCCCUGGGGCAUCCUUCCCUAUCUCUCCCCUCCUCAGGUGAGUUCUGUCUGAGUUAGCAGUGUCCCUCCUCACCUUUCAGAGUGAUCUCACCUCUUUACACACUGUGCUCCUUUCCCUCUCAUUCUCCUCCUUCACCUUUCAUGAUCCCUCCUUCCUCUCACCCCAUCACUUUUCCCUCAUCCUCCUAACUCCAUCCCCACUGUCCUCCCCCUUUCCACUCCCCAAGGGUUCUCAAUUCUCUUUUCCCAGGCUCGUCCGUGACUGUUUCUUGUCCUCAGAGCCCUUGCCUUCCUUGCUGCCUCCUCAGUCCCAUUCUCUGUCUCUUUCAGCGGCCCCAUCCUUAUCUACCUUCCCCAGUGCAUCCCAGAAAAACAUCUGUCCCUUCCUCCCUCCAUCACACAGACCAAA